rnacentral:sRNA from 13 species
UAGAUCUAAAUUUAAUCUUAUCUAAAUCUUUGACUAUGUUAAUUGUCAGUAGUAAAUGUCAAAGAAAACAAUCCAUGAUUUAACCAUGCUGAGCACUUGAUGGGCACUGGAGAAAUGGAAAGAUUUGUGCAGACUCCACCCUGUGGGUCAGUUCAUGAACAGAAUGAUAUACACAAAAUGUCAGGAGGCAGGAUUGGUGAAGUGGGAAAAUUAUCCAAGGAUCCUGACUGAUUACUGAUGCAUUCAUCUUCUAUAUCUCCAGGUAGCAAAAUCUGUUAUAUACUGGUAUGUCAUACUUUAAAAACAGAAUUUGCAUAUCUUUUUAAUGUGAAUUCAUCAUUAAAUGGAAACUCUGAUGGUUUUUGACAAUGUUUGAUAUAAUAUGUGUUUUGAUUUACAGAUAAAGAAUAUAUUAUUCUUGCUUUUAUUAUUUGCAAUAAUAACAUAGUUAAUUAUGUUUUUUGACGUAAUUUUCCUGUACAUCCAAAACUGUCAGACUUUCACCUGGUUUCUAUGUGACUAUGCAUCUCAAACAAGGGAAAAAAUUGUAUUUGACUGAACUGGCUGUAUAAGCUGAAUUAGUCCCCUUUAUAGAUUUUUGUCUGAGGCUUUGUGAACCCAAACAUGAAAUAGAAGAACCCAAACAUGAAAUAGAAAUAAUAGAUAACUAUACAAUCAUACAUGAUCAUAGACUCUUUGCUAGCAGAGUGGUUUCGGCAUCAGAUUUAGCCCACAGGUUCAAAUUCAAGUCAUUCCCUUUUUUUUUUUUCAAAUUGCAUUUAAAAAGCGAAUACCAUAAUAGCCUGUUCUUUCUUUCCCUACCCCUUUCUAACUGGUUCAGCCAAGUGAUAGGAUAAUAGCAUACCAGUAUUGAGAAUGCUAAUCACACAGAUUUAUUAUUGUUUCUCUAGAUCUAUUACAAAUUUAAUUACAUGACUCAUCCAAACUAAUAGAUAAACUUAAUAUAAACUUUGUUGUUGUUUUUUUUAAGUAUUUUUUUAAUUUUGCUUAUUAUUUUACUUUGUAAAGGCAGCUAGAGAACCUUCUCUCUCAUGUACUCCCC